AAAGCGUUUGGUGGUGAGCAAAGGGCCAAGGGGGCUGGCGGAAGGACUCGCAACAAGGGGCAAAGGGGUGGCAUGUGGUACUGUGUCUUUAAGAAAGUGGAUAACGGCUGGUUUCCCUCCCGAUCUCUGUGGGUGAAGUUUGUCCAGGAUUUUAUUCUACCUUGGUCUUGUGAGUGUCCACAGAGUCAUCCUGUAGUUUGUGCAGGUCGGUAUCCUGCUUGCUUUUGCCCCUAGUGGGGAGAGUCAGUCUACCGAGGUGAUCCACCAAGUGAGUACACCUAAGGGACCCACAGUCAUAUCAAGACAUUACAAAAAGAAGAUGAGGGGAAGUAGCAUAUGGGGCAGAGAUCUUGAGGGGAAGGAGGACAGAAGUGGAACGAAGGCCUAAUGAAAAGGCAUGACAACACCUCAGCCGGCCUAAGGGCAAAAGGUGCUGACAGAGGGACAGAGACACGAGCAGUGAUUUGUCAGGGAGGUUGUUGGAGAGGCAGAGGAAGGCGAUGGACCAGACACAGACAUCGGAGACAGUAUGAUUGAUACAUUGUGUAAAACCCAGCUUGUGGUGCCAGAUCUCCAAGCCCACAAUUCUAUCGGCAAACACCAUAAAUGCUUGACGUGUCUUUCUUUUGUUUGUUUGUGAUGGCCUGCAUUGGGAGGGGGACGUGAAUUGGAGUUAAUUUGUGGUGAAUCGGAGUCUUGAACUGGAGAGGCCAGGGGUGAAAACCCCACUCAGCAUGAAGCUCAGAAGAUGACCUCUUAGGACCAGCUAGCUCAUAAGUUUAUGGGAUGGGUAACAUAGGAUGAAUUCCCAUGUGUGCCCCCCUGAGCUUUUUGAAGGGAAAGUAGGCUACAUCAGUGAUGGCCUUUUGGCCACCAGGGUGGAAGUGAAGUGCUGGCCAAGCAUCACUGAAUAUCAGCUGCUGAGUCCUGUUGAAGAAAUGUGGGGGCCUGGACUCAGUGCCGGUUGCCAUAGUGCUUUGGCCCAGAGAGGCUCAGUGUCACAAAGGGCUGUGUGAACUGAAAUGCUGGAUGCUGGGAGUUGGUUGCUCUGUGGGUUGUAGGAGUGGCGUCGGGUUAGAAGUGAGAGUAGUGCUAGCUUGGCUAGUUUUUUCUUGAGAUAUGUCUUCUAGUGCAUACACUGAGUCUGAUGAAUUUGAUGAGGACCUCAUGUCCGCUAGCAGCAUGGGAGAAGAAGAGGCGGCUGCUCUUAUGAGAGACCUGGAGCAGUCCGUGAGUUUUUCCAUCGGUAUCCUCCCAGAAGGUUUGAGCGAGGAAAAGCUCGUAAUUGAACUCGCUUCUGUCCUCCUCGGCCUGACGAGUGAAGACCCAGAGAUCAAAUUGAAGGCUCUCCAGAACUUCUUCAGGAACCUCACAGGGGUCAAGGCUGAUCCAUGUGGACAGCUGCCUGAAGAACUGAUUGGACGUCUGGUGGCAGUGACUUGCCUCUGUGCUUUAGAUGAGAACAGAGAGAUCAGGCAGAUGGCGGCAGAAGUCCUGUGUGAGCUCCUGCCCAUGCUGCGCCGUGGAGAACAGAGGCUGAUGUAUACACCUUGGGGCAAGGACCUGGUAAAACGAGCUCUCUCUGCCCUGGGACCAACUAGAGAACCCAACCCUUCUUUCUUCAGCGGAAACUGCUACAACCUUGCAAUGGUCUUCGGUGGAUUCCUCUCCUCCGAGCAGCUCCUGGAGGUCAUGCAUUUCUUGGGAGGGGAUCUGACCACUGAAGGCUCAUUUGACCUCCUAAACGUAUUCCACCUGCUGCGCGAGGUCAUAAAGCAGUUCAGCGGCAAGUCAAUGUGGUUGGAGGAACUUCUGGACCACUUGUUCAUCCGGCUGAAGGACAGAGUCCCACAUGGUCAAGACGUAGCCUUGCUAGCCUUCCCCAUCUUGGCAGUAGAUCAUCUUGAGGAGGUGGUGCUAUACCUCCUCAAACACCCUUUCAGCAAGUGCCAGGAGUACUGGCAGGCAAUAUUCAAUGCUGCUGACCACAGCCAGAUACUUGUUGAGGUGGCAAAAUGGAUGCCGGAGUGCAGCAGAGUUGCGACUCGUGCAGUCCGGGUCCUUUUCUUAUUCCUUAAGUCUAGUGACAAGCAAGCUGUGAAGGAGAGGUUUCCACACCUCUUACUUGCCCUGCUGCAACAGAUCUAUGAACGGCUGGAGGAGAAUCGGGGUGUGAUUGAGAGCCUGGAAACUCUGCACCUCCUCCUUAGGACUGUUGACAUAGAGGAGGAGAGUCUGAGGGAAUACCUGGACCACUUUGGCAGGCCAGAAGGCUUCAGCCACGGACUAUCCAUUUUGGUGAGCAUACUCAUCGCUAAAGGUUCGUGGUCAACCCCAGCCCUGGUACACUAUAUUGGUGAUAUUUUUGAAGGCAAACAAACAACUCGCCUGCCUGAAAUAGCACUGGACAUCUACCUUGAGCUGUUCAUAAACCAGCACAUCGUGGAGGCCAACCAGGAGACGGUGGAUUUCAUCUUCAACUGUCUUGGCCAUGACAACGCUCAAGUACGGAAGCUAAGCCUCCAGGGGAUCGCUCUUCUGUUCAAUUCAGAAGUGGACCCUUGGACUAUAUCGGUGGCUCUCUUAAGCUCACUGGGAAUGGCAUGCAAGCCAGAUGUCAUUCCCGAGCUAAUGAUGCUGGUGGAAAUUGCCCUCCACAGUGUCAGUGGAGAGAGAGGAGAGGCCUAUAUGAGGAAGCUGGCAUCCAUCUACUGUGGCUACAUUGCCCACGAGAAAGCCGCGGUCCGAGCAGCAGCCAUCCAACAUCUUGGGAUGCUUCGGACCAGGUUUGGGGAGCAAUGGCCUCCAUGUACACCUGAGGAAGGCCUGGAUGAGCUUGUGAAUGUUUUGAUUCACCUGGAGGAUGAGGAUCAGGUGUCUGAGGCAACAAAGGCCACUCUGAAACAGCUGGUCCCAGAGGUGAGGUGGCGGGUAGACCCCAAAACCUAUAGCCUCCAUCGUGUGCUCCAUCAGGCGGCCAAAUAUGUGACAAAAAAGUACAAGAAGGAUCUGGUGCGUGGUGCUGCCUUCAGCUGCAUGCUUCCUUCCUCCAACAAUCUGCCAGCAGUCUCAAGGGUGGCAGCACUCUUUGUCGGACACCUUGCUCACAAGGAUGCAACCUUCAUCAUGUUGGAGGAUAUGGGCUCUUACUGUACAUGGCUUGAAGGGAUGGCCGAGCAUAAUGAUGAAGAGGUGCGGCGUGCAGGAGAAAGCACCAUCUGUGUCAUGCAAAAAGCCAUUAAUGACCAUGCUAAAGGGAGAGUACACACACUAAAGAAAAGGUUUAUCCGGCAUGUGAAAAAAGAAAGAUGCCCCAAAGACUUCAAACACUCAGUGCCUGCUCGAAAAUCAUCAAAGUCAUCAUCCAAAGCUGUAAAAUCCAAAGCUGUAAGAUUGAUAUCGGAGGAGGAUGGCAGUGGGGUAGACAAUGUAGUGACAACAGUAGCUACCACAACUAUCACAACUUCUACUACAAGUCAACCUUCUAGUACAACAAGGCAGCCUUCUACUACAACCACGACAAAGCAGGCUUCUACUACAGUUACAACGAAACAGCCUUCUACUACAACCACAGUGAAGAAACCUUCCACCACAACAAGGCAGUCUUCUACUAUGACCACCAUAAAGCAAACUCCUACUACAAACAAAGCUGUGGCAACUCCUAGUAUGACUGCAAUGCAGCUGCCUUCUACUGCUGUUACAAUGUCAGCUUCUACUAUGACUACAACAAGGCUGCCUUCAACUAUGACCACAACAAGAGAGCCUUCUACAACUGCAAAUCAACCUGACACGGAGCGUACAACCAAAGGAAAUAAAAGUAUUGAAUCAACUUCUUUGAAGACCAUAUUAUCCAAACCCCUUCUCCCCAAUCCAAAAAAAUAACCACAUCCUUCAGCAUUACUACCACAAAACCAUUGAGGCCAAAUACUAGCUUGCCACCUCACACUUCUUCAAGUAUUAGUAAAAUACUGACUUCUACUGUGGCUAAAGUCACAGGUACGGCUGCUAUGAAAACCACAACUACUCCAGCUAAAGGGACAACGACAAUAUCCAAAAGAGACACUACUACUGUAGCUAUGGAAGCAACUUCAACAGCCGACAGAGACACAACCAAUGCAAACAGCCAGGCUGUAACAAGAAUGGAAAAAAGUGAAGCAACAAAUGAAAUUGAUAAAAGUGAUAUCACAGCUGCAAAUAAAGAGACUACAAUAAUAGACACUAAAGACACAAAUAGUAAUUUAGGCACUGCAAGUCCAAUACAGACAGCAGAUAUUACAACCACAGGGACUCUAAUAACUGAUAAAUCCGAUGCAACUGCAGAUUCCAAAGAAGCAACCACUGCAGAUAAGGAAACAACAUCUGUGGAAAGAAGAGAAUCAACAGCCAUUAAUCAGGAGCCAGGUAUGGAUGAUAAAAAAGACAGUAGUACUGUUGAUGCCACAGUCAUCACUUCAGCUGAUAGAGAAAAGGCAACUACACCUCUCACAGAUACAACUACAAGUAUUGAGAAAGAGAUUAAAGAGUCAACCGCAGAGGAUAAUAAGAGACAGAAAACUCUAAAGAGAGAUCUGUUACCAGAAUCAAAGAAAAAAUGACAGUUGGUGAAAUGGAAACUUCAGAAAAUCAAAAAGAUUCUAGUGCAACUGCUGUUACUGAGGGGAUGCCAACUGAAUUGCUGCCAACCAUAGCCGAUAGCUCAAAAAAAGAGACUAUGACUCCAUCAAGCCCAAAUUCUAGAGAUACUACAAACACAAUAGAAUCAGCAAUUACAUCUCGGACCAUCAGAGAAAUUGAUCAAACUCAGGAACCAACGAACAAGCCAGAGCAACUUGUAACUCUAGAUAAUUCAGAUCUCAUUCCUGAUGUUCUGCUAAGAGGUACACCUCAGCCUGAGGUUGAUUUUGGAAGUGUGAGACCAGAACAGAGUAGUACAGUGACAGAGACAAUAAUACAGACUGAUCCAACAAGAGACACAGCCAAUCCUGAUGGUGAUGAUAAAAAUUACAAACCAGAAAGUAGUACUACAGUCAGAGCAUCAACAAUGACACAGACUGAGCCAACAAGCAACACAGACAGGCUUGAUGGCAGUUAUACAAAUGACAAGCCAGGAAGUAGCACAACAGUCACAGAGACAAGAGUAACACAGACUGAUCCAACAAAUGAUGCACGCAGACUUGGCAGUGAUAGUAACACACCAGAAGGGACAACUUCUAUACACAGAGUAUAACACAGUCAGAUCCAACAAGUAGCACAUCAAGCCCUGACAGUGAUGUUAAAAAUGACAUACCAAAGGCAACUACUACAAUCGCAGAGACAAUAAUACAGACUGAUCUCUCAAGUGACAUACCUACUCCUGAUGGUGAUGAUAAAAAUAAAAAAUCAGGAAGCAGCACUACAGCAGUACUCACAGAGACAACAACAACACAGACUGAUGGAGAUGAUAAAAGUGACAAGCCAGAAGGAACUACUAUAGUUGCAAAGACAAAAAUACAGACUGAUCUCCCAAGUGACACAUUUACUCCUGAUGAUGCUGAUAAAAACCAAAAGCCAGAAAGCAGUACCAUAGUCAUGGGGACAACACCAACUGAUCUAGGUGACACAUCCAAUCCUGAGGACACUAACAAAAGUGACAAACCAGAAGGGACUACUAGAGUCACAGAAACAACACAGACUGAUCCAGGUGACACAACCAAUCCUGAUGGUGGUAAUAAAAGUGACAAAUCAGAAAGGACUACUACAGUCACAGAGACAAUCAUAACAGAGACUGAUCCAGAAAAUGGCACACCUAGCCCUGUUGGUGAUGAUAAAAGUGACAGGCCAGAAGGGACUACCACAGUCACAGAGAGAAGCAUAACAGAGACUGAUCCAGCAAAUGACACACCUAGCCCUGUUGGUGACGAUAAAAGUGUCAGGCCAGAAGGGACUACCACAGUCACAGAGACAAUCAUAACAGAGACCUGCCCUGAAAGUGAUUAUAAAAAUGACAGACCUGCAGAGACCACAACAGUCAGAGAGACAGUAAUAACAGAAACAAUAAUAACAGACACUGAUCUAAGAAGUGGUACACCCAAACCUGAAAGUAAUGAUAAAAAUGACAGACCUGAAGGGACCACAACAGUUACAGAGAUGAUAACCAUACAGACCGAUCCAGCAAAUGGCACACACAACCCUGUUGGUGAUGAUAAAAAUGACAAACCAGAAACAACCACUACAGUCAGAGAAAUCAUUACAACAGGAACUGAUCCUUCUUCAAGUGAUCCAGAGAUACAAAAAAUAGCAUCAUCACCCUCUAAGCCACCAAAUGAUGAGCCUAGUCCAAAUGGCAACAGGAAUGGUGACAGGCCAGGUGAUACUACAGAAAUAAUGGAGACAACAACAAUAAUCACAGAAACUAAUACACCAAAUCCCAAUCAAAACGAUUCCCCUAAUCCUGAUGAAAGUGACAGACCAGACAGCGUCACUACAGUCACAAAAACAACUACAACCACAACAGAAUGAAACCCAAAGGACGGUGAUAAAAAUGGCAAGACAGAAGUUAUCACUAAAGUUACAUGGAUAACUACUACUACUACUACCACCACCACCACCCAGUAAAAUACAACUGAACAACCAGAAACAACCACACGUGAUUUUACAACUAAUACAAAAAUUGACCUUGUUUCAGAUAAACCCACCACAGAAAAUCCAACUAACAAGAAUACAAAUACUACAGUAACACAGGUGACUACAACUUCCUCGGUGACAUCCAAACCUCUCAGCACCCAAACUUCUACAGUUGAUAAGACUACACAAUAUACCUCCACUUUGCCCGCCACACUUACAACUACAAAAAGAAGAGUGAUCUAUUACCCAACUACAAUAUAUUCCACAACAAGAUCUCCUGAGAGAACUCCCAAUAUAACCAGAGAGUAUGUUCGACCAGAAAAGAUUGCCACGCCCUUAUUGUACAAAGCAAGUCCCAGGAGCACUGGUAGGCAAUAUUCCGUGCUGCCGGAUACUAACUGAGGUGGCAAAAUGGAUUCCGGAGUGCAGCAAAGUUGCGCUAAAAAAUCAUCAAAGUCAUCAUCCAAAGCUGUAAGAGUGAUUUCGGAGGAGGAUGGCAGUAGGGUAGACAAUGUAGUGACAACAGUAGCUACCACAACUACCACAACUUCUACUACAAGUCAACCUUCUA